rfam:Anaerosporobacter mobilis DSM 15930 genome assembly, contig: EJ17DRAFT_scaffold00011.11
AUAUUUGGUAGAGGCGCAUUUUUUAUCAGUAUACUGUAGGAUAUGUCAGGCAUAGUCGAUUACAGUAGAAAGGAAAAGAUGCCGAAGUUCUUAUAACCUGAACAAUAAGGGCUGGGCAUAUAGUGAAUAACUAUAUGACUGUCAUCAAUACAAUGAUGGAGUGCUACCUAAAGA